AGAUUGUUCUCUCAGAAAAAGGGUGUUCCUUGUGCUUAAAAUUGCCAAGGCUUAUCAAUUCAACCAUAACAUGCACUCAUGCAGCACGGAAAGUCUUAGCCUUCUCUUGUAUUGUAAAUAAUUUCAAUAAUAUUGUGGUGUGCAUUUUGUGUUUGUAAUGAUUAAUGGAGUGAUGUGUGUUUAUAUUUAUGAUUUCAUUCGUGUUUCAUGUAUUAUCUAAUUUGUACAAUGUUUAAAUAACUUGAGUCAUGUGUGCGUUAUUGAUUGUUUGUCUCUGCUUCUUAGUUAUUGGAGUAACUCAAAUGAAACUCUUUGUUGUGCUUUAUCAUUUAAUUAA